UACGGAGGGCGCAAGCGUUGUUCGGAAUUACUGGGCGUAAAGCGCGUGUAGGCGGUUUGGUAAGUAGGUUGUGAAAUCCCAGGGCUCAACCCGGGAACUGCAUCCGAAACUUCCAGGCUAGAGUUUCGGAGAGGAAGGCAGAAUUCCCAAUGUAGGGGUGAAAUCCGUAGAUAUUGGGAGGAAUACCAGUGGCGAAGGCGGCCUUCUGGGCGAUGACUGACGCUCAGACGCGAAAGCGUGGGGAGCAAACAGG
rnacentral:rRNA from 1 species